UUACGGCCAUAUCACGCUCAAACACCGGUUCUCGUACGAAGUUAAGCAACGUCGAGCCUGGUUCGUACAUAGAUGGGUGACCACUUGAGAAUACAAGAUGCUGUAAG